rnacentral:rRNA from 1 species
CAGUAGCCGCGGUAAUACGAAGGGUGCAAGCGUUAAUCGGAAUUACUGGGCGUAAAGCGUGCGUAGGCGGUGAGUUAAGUCUGCUGUGAAAUCCCCGGGCUCAACCUGGGAAUGGCAGUGGAUACUGGCUCGCUAGAGUGUGUCAGAGGAUGGUGGAAUUCCCGGUGUAGCGGUGAAAUGCGUAGAGAUCGGGAGGAACAUCAGUGGCGAAGGCGGCCAUCUGGGACAACACUGACGCUGAGGCACGAAAGCGUGGGGAGCAAACAGGAUUAGAUACCCCGGUAGUCCCUGUCUCUUAUAC